rfam:Streptomyces sp. NRRL S-495 contig26.7, whole genome shotgun sequence.
GUGCCUUUUGAAGAAUGAGCCUGCGAGUUUGCGGUGUGUAGCGAGGUUAACCCGUGUGGGGUAGCCGUAGCGAAAGCGAGUCCGAAUAGGGCGAUUGAGUUGCAUGCCCAAGACCCGAAGCGGAGUGAUCUAGCCAUGGGCAGGUUGAAGCGGAGGUAAGACUUCGUGGAGGACCGAACCCACCAGGGUUGAAAACCUGGGGGAUGACCUGUGGUUAGGGGUGAAAGGCCAAUCAAACUCCGUGAUAGCUGGUUCUCCCCGAAAUGCAUUUAGGUGCAGCGUCACGUGUUUCUUGCCGGAGGUAGAGCACUGGAUAGGCGAUGGGCCUCACCGGGUUACUGACCUUAGCCAAACUCCGAAUGCCGGUAAGUGAGAGCGUGGCAGUGAGACUGUGGGGGAUAAGCUCCAUGGUCGAGAGGGAAACAGCCCAGAACACCGACUAAGGUCCCUAAGCGUGUGCUAAGUGGGAAAGGAUGUGGAGUCGCAGAGACAACCAGGAGGUUGGCUUAGAAGCAGCCACCCUUGAAAGAGUGCGUAAUAGCUCACUGGUCAAGUGAUUCCGCGCCGACAAUGUAGCGGGGCUCAAGCACAUCACCGAAGUCGUGUCAUUGCAGCAUAUAGGGCCAACGCCUGCUGUGAUGGGUAGGGGAGCGUCGUGUGCCGGGUGAAGCGGCGGUGGAAACCAGUCGUGGACGGUACACGAGUGAGAAUGCAGGCAUGAGUAGCGAUACAAGAGUGGGAAACUCUUGCGCCGAUUGACCAAGGGUUCCUGGGUCAAGCUGAUCUGCCCAGGGUAAGUCGGGACCUAAGGCGAGGCCGACAGGCGUAGUCGAUGGACAACGGGUUGAUAUUCCCGUACCCGCUUUGAAGCGCCAACGCUGAACCAGGUGAUGCUAAAGCCGUGAAGCCGGCCCGGAGUCUUCGGACAAAGGGACGUGGUGGAGCCG